UCGGGUCUGUGGUUGUAAGCCGAAGCCAGUCGCAGGCAAAGCGGUCCACGUAAGUCAUCCAAAGCGAUGAUGAGCAUGGUGCGGUUUAGAGGUAAGUCCGACCGGGUAUGCAUUAUCCGAGAGAGCGGCGUGAGGGCGUCAAUUCGCAGAGCAAGGCUCCUGUCGGCGAGUGUGGGGUCAAAAACCAGGUCAGCCGGU
rnacentral:ncRNA from 1 species